AUACUUACCUGGCAGGAGAGAUACCAUGAUCACAAAGGUGGUUUUCUUGGGGUGAGACUUAUUCAUUGCACUCCAGAUGUGCUGAACCCUGCGAUUUCCCCAAAUUCGAGAAGGUUGACUGCAUACUUUGUGGUAGUGGGGAACUGUGUUCUCGCUCUCCCCUG
ensembl:snRNA U1 U1 spliceosomal RNA